rnacentral:rRNA from 1 species
UGCAAGUCGACGCUUUUUCUUUCACCGGAGCUUGCUCCACCGAAAGAAAAAGAGUGGCGAACGGGUGAGUAACACGUGGGUACCUGCCCAUCAGAAGGGGAUAACACUUGGAAACAGGUGCUAAUACCGUAUAACACUAUUUUCCGCAUGGAAGAAAGUUGAAAGGCGCUUUUGCGUCACUGAUGGAUGGACCCGCGGUGCAUUAGCUAGUUGGUGAGGUAACGGCUCACCAAGGCAACGAUGCAUAGCCGACCUGAGAGGGUGAUCGGCCACACUGGGACUGAGACACGGCCCAGACUCCUACGGGAGGCAGCAGUAGGGAAUCUUCGGCAAUGGACGAAAGUCUGACCGAGCAACGCCGCGUGAGUGAAGAAGGUUUUCGGAUCGUAAAACUCUGUUGUUAGAGAAGAACAAGGAUGAGAGUAAAAUGUUCAUCCCUUGACGGUAUCUAACCAGAAAGCCACGGCUAACUACGUGCCAGCAGCCGCGGUAAUACGUAGGUGGCAAGCGUUGUCCGGAUUUAUUGGGCGUAAAGCGAGCGCAGGCGGUUUCUUAAGUCUGAUGUGAAAGCCCCCGGCUCAACCGGGGAGGGUCAUUGGAAACUGGGAGACUUGAGUGCAGAAGAGGAGAGUGGAAUUCCAUGUGUAGCGGUGAAAUGCGUAGAUAUAUGGAGGAA